UGAAAAGCACAGAAAACUUACAAGGAACUCAGAAGGUGACAGUGCAGGUCAGGAUUGUGCUUCAUGAUGAUAUAUCCAUAGGAAUGUAGAAAGCUGCCUGAUUUUAACUUGAUAUUUUCAUUGCCGGAUCUCAGGAUGAAGUGUUCAACAGAUGACUAUAGUAAAAAUUGCCAAGGUCUCCAUAAAAGUAAGUGCUGUGUCAAAUGUUUAAAAAUGUUGGGAUUCAAUCCUGCUGUAACCUAUAUUGGUGUAGAUGUGGAACAAGUUUGCUGCUGUUUCACUGACAGAACUAUGCCUAUAAAUUUCUAUCUGAAAUGCAAUUUCACAAAGUAA
ensembl:lncRNA